GCGAGGGGCCCAAAGGGGGACGACCUGCUUGUCUGUCAGAGUGAGAAGACGACCUGGAUUCGGAUGAGUGGAAAGCAUUCUCAGCACUGAAAACCACUGCAGAUUGUUUCAUGAUGGUGAAGACCACUCAGUGCCUUUGUGAAGAUGGAACCCAAUAGACACAGUUCAGAACAAAUUCGACUUAGGCUACCUUCAGUUCAGAACAACUAGAAUUCUACACUCUGUAAUGAAGAACUCUGCAAAUACUUUGUGGUCUUCAGUGCUGCUUCAUGUAGAGGUCCAUGUACCCGGCACCUCCAGCUCUUGUUCAGGCUAUGUAUUUGUAGAGAUACCUCAAAGGUACGCAAGCAAAGUUUUUGGGCAUUCAGGAACAUCUUGAAAGAGGAUGGAACCUGGCAGCAAAUGUCCCACCAGGAGGGGCAGAGCGAGUACUCAGGCAGUCUUGGCACACCUGACAGCCAAAGCAGCUAUUUCCUUUUUCAUGCAGCUGAGUUUUCUCCAUUGCUUAUUCGAUCGUCUCUAGUGUUGCUUUCUGAAAAUCUGUAAGAGGAGGUAGACCUUUAGUCCAGAUAUCUUAUUGUGCUGAGUAUCCUAGCUCUAAUCUAGUUCCUCCUUUCCUCACUGCUGCUGACAACAAAACGGAAAAGUCUCCAGCUGCUUCUAAAUUCUUUUCAAAGAACACAAACAGUGUAGCUGCCCAGUACUCUAAGCAGCAUGAGAAAGACAAAUGAAAUGGUUGGCAUGUCUCUCACAACGACAUAGUACACAGAGAACACAGAGCAGCACAAUAAUAAGUACUGAGCUAUCAGUUGGAAUACUUGCAACAGAAAUCCAGACCUAAGUAGAAAAACAAAACCUUCAUAGAUACCUAGCAAGAAAUUGGAGGAAAGGUAGCAAUGGAAAGUGCUUAGUUAGAGAUUCUCAGCUGUACCGAGAAUGUGGGAUUUCUCCAUUGUUCCUAUUUGCCAUUUAUCACUAAAAUGUUGACUUCUGUGGCUUAUAGGACAGCGGUCACCUGGCACGAAAACAUGACAGUACUUGUACUAUGCAUUUCAAGAGCAGUAAUUCCCAGCCAUACAUGGCAGUUCAUGCCUAAAUUAGUUAAGGCUAAAUCAACUCGAAAUUCACAUGUACAGGGCCACCAGUCACAUUUUAAAGCAGAGAUGCAUACAUCACUGGUGGCUGUCAUACCACACACAGCACAGGCCGAGAGAGAUCUUUGACUUUCCACAGAGCAUUAUUGUGGAACAUUAAAUUUUAGCAAAAAGGAUGAAAGUCUUCCUAUGUUGCUUUCUUAAGAGACAAGACGUUUUCCCCAAACUCUCAUAGCAGACCUGUCUUUAUAGAUCUCUGAGUAGAGCUGAUUUUUAUGGAUUUUUGGAUCAAGAUCCUGAAAAGGGAAAGAUUGUUGGGCCUAUCAAUCUGGCACAGAUGUCUGUGUGGCGUUGGUGUCUCAGCCACUCAUGGAGCAAGCUACACUGUACGACUGUGUUCAAUAAAACUUCAUUGAUAUAAAGCGGCAGAGGGCCAGUCUGGGCCCUCCUGCUGUAGAUUGUACACCUCUAUUUUAACGUGUAAGACUGAAGUCUGUAGUAGGACUUCUUUGGUUUGUGUUUUAAGGAUUGGUUAAACACGUCUUUCUCACCUUCA